GGGGAAUAUUGCGCAAUGGGGGAAACCCUGACGCAGCAACGCCGCGUGAAGGAUGAAGGUUUUCGGAUUGUAAACUUCUUUGAUGAGGGACGAUAAUGACGGUACCUCAAAAACAAGCCACGGCUAACUACGUGCCAGCAGCCGCGGUAAUACGUAGGUGGCAAGCGUUGUCCGGAUUUACUGGGUGUAAAGGGCGUGUAGGCGGGGAUGCAAGUCAGAUGUGAAAUUCCGGGGCUCAACCCCGGCGCUGCAUCUGAAACUGUAUCUCUUGAGUGCUGGAGAGGAUAGCGGAAUUCCUAGUGUAGCGGUGAAAUGCGUAGAUAUUAGGAGGAACACCAGUGGCGAAGGCGGCUUUCUGGACAGUAACUGACGCUGAGGCGCGAAAGCGUGGGGAGCGAAC
rnacentral:rRNA from 1 species